GGUAUUUUUUGCUAGCUCGUACCAAUCCAGAUCCAAAAGCUCCUGCAAGCAAAGCCUUUACUGGAUUCAUUGUGGAAGCAAACAGCCCUGGAAUCCAAAUUGGAAGAAAGGAAAUGAAUAUGGGUCAGCACUGCUCUGAUACCAGAGGUAUUGUCUUUGAAGAUGUACGAGUUCCAAAAGAAAAUGUAUUAAUAGCUGAGGGAGCUGGCUUUAAAAUCACAAUGGGAGCUUCUGAUAAGACCAGACCACCCGUAGCAGCUGGUGCUGUUGGGUUAGCAAAAAGAGCACUCGAUGAAGCUACUAAAUAUGCUUUGGAGAGGAAAACCUUUGGGAAACCAAUUGUUGAAGUAAGUUAAAUAUAU